rnacentral:rRNA from 1 species
CGGCGAGUGAAGCGGGAUGAGCUCAAGCUUNAAAUCUUCGUUGCUUGCAACGGCGAAUUGUAGCCUCGAGAAGCGUUUUCCAGCCGGAUGGUCUGUGCUCAAGUUGCCUGGAACGGCACAUCGUAGAGGGUGACAAUCCCGUACGCGGCGCAGGGCACCGGUCACGAUACGCUUUCAAUGAGUCGGGUUGCUUGGGAAUGCAGCCCAAAAUGGGAGGUAAACUCCUUCUAAAGCUAAAUAUUGGCACGAGACCGAUAGCGAACAAGUACCGUGAGGGAAAGAUGAAAAGCACUUUGAAAAGAAAGUUAAUAGUACGUGAAACCGUUAAAAGGGAAGCGCAUGGAAUUAGCAAUGCACUUUCGAGAUUCAGGUGAUCGAUUCGAGGCACCGGCGUUUUGCGGAUCUGAAUGGACCGUUGGCGUUGGUCGUYUUGUUUUGGCUGCCGCAUUUCUCGUCUGUGUGCGUCAACAAAUGUUAGGACCGUGCGAAGAGCCACGAGAGAAGGUGGCCAGUUUCGGCUGGUGUUAUAGCUCUUGUGCGCGAGUUCGGGCCUGACAGAGGAGUUGCGGUACAUGCUCGCAAGGGCUGGCCUCUCUUCUUUCAGUCGGAUGUCAACCAUAGCGGACUGCGUGCAGUGCGUUUGAACCGCGUUUGGCUGUCUGGGGAUGAGUGUACACACUGUGCCAAGGUUGUUGGCGGUCAUAUGAUUUCAUACGACCCGUCUUGAAACACGGACCAAGGAGUCUGACAUGUGUGCGAGUCUUUGGGUGAGUGAAACCCGCAGGCACAAUGAAAGUAAAGGCCUUCGGGCUGAAGUGAGAUCUCUUCGGAGCGCAUCAUUGACCGAUCUAUUCUACUCCUAGAAAGAUUUGAGUAAGAGCACAUCUGUUGGGACCCGAAAGAUGGUGAACUAUGCUUGAGUAGGGCGAAGCCAGAGGAAACUCUGGUGGAGGCUCGUAGCGAUUCUGACGUGCAAAUCGAUCGUCAAACUUGAGUAUAGGGGCGAAAGACUAAUCGAACCAUCUAGUAGCUGGUUCCCUCCGAAGUUUCCCUUAGGAUAGCUGGAACUCGGAACAGUUUUAUCAGGUAAAGCGAAUGAUUAGAGGUCUUAGGGUUGAAACAAUCUUAACCUAUUCUCAAACUUUAAAUUGGUAAGAAGCUCGACUUGCUUAGCUGAAGUCGGGCAACGAAUGAGAGUUCUUAGUGGGCCAUUUUUGGUAAGCAGAACUGGCGAUGCGGGAUGAACCGAACGUUGAGUAAAGGCGCCUAAAUCGACGCUCAUCAGACCCCACAAAAGGUGUUGGUUGAUCCAGACAGCAGGACGGUGGCCAUGGAAGUCGGAAACCGCUAAGGAGUGUGUAACAACACACCUGCCGAAUCAACUAGCCCUGAAAAUGGAUGGCGCUCAAGCGUCGUGCCUAUACUCGACCGUCGAAGUAAAUAGCGAAGCUCCGACGAGUAGGAGGGCGUGGGGGUCGUGACGCAGCCUUUGGCGUGAGCCUGGGUGAAACGGCCUCUAGUGCAGAUCUUGGUGGUAGUAGCAAAUAUUCAAAUGAGAACUUUGAAGACCGAAGUGGAGAAAGGUUCCAUGUGAACAGCAGUUGGACAUGGGUUAGUCGAUCCUAAGAGAUAGGGAAACUCCGUUUUAAAGCGUCCGAUUUUUUGGACCGUUUAUCGAAAGGGAAUCGGGUUAAUAUUCCCGAACCGGAACGCGGAUAUUUCGCGUGGACUUGUCCUCGUGAAUUUGCGGUAACGCAACUGAACUCGGAGACGUCGGCAGGAGCCCUGGGAAGAGUUCUCUUUUCUUGUUAACGCACUGAAACCAUGGAAUCUGAUUGCCAGGAGAUAUGGUCCGAUGUGCGGUAAAGCAUCACACUUCUUGUGAUGUCCGGUGCGCUCCUGAAGGCCCUUGAAAAUCCGAGGGAAAGAUUGAUUCUCGCUUCCGCUCGUACUCAUAACCGCAGCAGGUCUCCUAGGUGAGCAGCCUCUGGUCGAUAGAACAAUGUAGGUAAGGGAAGUCGGCAAAAUAGAUCCGU